ensembl:lncRNA
AGGUCACUGCAGAGACAGCUUGCACCUGGCAUUGCUGUGCCUGUGGUGUAGGCUGACAGCUGCAGCUGGAAUUCACCUCUAGCUUGGGAACUUCCACAUGCUGCAGGUGCAGCCAUAAAAACAUUUUUUUAAAUUCUGAGAGUUCCCAUUGUGGCUCAGUGGAAAUGAAUCUGACUAGUAUCCAUAAGGACACAGGUUCGAUCCCUGGCCUCGCUCAGGGGGUUAAAGACCCGGCAUUGCCGUGAGCUGUGGUAUAGGUCACAAGUGGGGUUCGGAUCCUGUGUUGCUGUGCUUGUAGUGGAGACCAGUGGCUACAGCGCCAUUCGACCCUUAGCCUGGGAACCUCCAUAUGCUACCAGUGUGGCCCUAAACAACCAAAAAAAAAAAAAAAAGCCGUCACAGUAGCCAUGCAGAACUUCCCCACUGAGAGUUCAAAAUUCCUGACAGUAACUACGACUAGGGAAGGGAGCUGAAACGGGGCAGUUUGGUUUGGGUUUCAAUUCUCACAUCUUUAGCACUGGGGCCACUUCACACCAUCUUGAGCUGUCACAACAAGAAUUCAUGGAGGAAGUUGCCUUGAACCACCAGCUACCCUGCAUGCUCCUGUCAUCCUUUUAUUUUAUUUUAUUUGCUUUGGUUACACUCUAAACCCAACAGAACACUGUUCUUCUUACCUUAGCUUUCAGCUGUCAGAGAAUGUCUCUCCAUCCGCCUGGAAAUCUGCUAAGCCUGUACACUUAGCCACACGUUUGUCCUUCCCCUCCUGAGCUCCCUUCUCCGAAGAUCUCCUCGUAGCAUUUAUGUGGGUCAAAUGGGAACGGACUCUUGGCUGAGUAUGUCUUUCUUCGGCUCAUUAUUGAAGGGUGUUUGUGCAGGACGUAAGGUUCUGGGUAGACGUGUUUUUUCUUUCCUCCUCUGAAGAGGCUGGGUUUUGCCAUUUGGUCUCCUGUGUUUCUGAGAAUUCUUUCUCCUGAACCCAUUUUUCUAUAGCUGCUCUUGUGCUUUGGUGUUUAUAAUUUCUGGCUUUUCCGCAGUUUUGCUGUGCUGUCCAGGGCAAGAUUGUCUUUGUAUCUGUCUUCACUGGGAUUCAAUGAGCUUCUGAGGUUUGUGGAUGGGUAUUUUUCAUCAGUUGGGGAACAUUCCUAACCAUUCAUCCCUUCAAGUAUUAUUUUGUUCCCUCGUUCCUCAGUUUCUGAGAAUUGAGUCAUGCAAUCAGUGGACCCAUUGACAUUGUCCCACAAACCUCUCGUGUCUUUUUUUUUUUGUCUUUUUGCCAUUUCUUGAGCCACUCUCGUGGCAUAUGGAGGUUCCCAGGCUAGGGGUCCAAUCGGAGCUGCAGCCGCCGGCCUAUGCCAGAGCCACAGCAACACGGGAUCCGAGACUUGUCUGCAACCUACACCACAGCUCAUGGCAACGCCGGAUCCUUAACCCACUGAGCGAGGCCAGGGAUCGAAGCCGCAACCUCAUGGUUCCUAGUCGGAAUCGUUAACCACUUUGCCACCACAGGAACUCCUCUGGGGUCUUUUCUUAAACUCAUUCUUAAACUCACUGCAUUUUCCCUCACUGUGCUUCGGUUUGGGUCAUUUACAUUUUGCUGUUUCAGUUUCACAGAUUCUUUCCUCUGGCGUUAAGCUCAUCCAAUUCAUGCUGCAGUCCAGACAUGGUUUUUUAUUUCUGGAAUUUCCAUUAGGCUCUUUUUCAGGGUAGUCACCUCUUUGCCAACAUUUCCCCCUGUUGAUACAUAGAGGCCACCUCGUCUACUACAUUCUCUAACAUACUCAUCACGAAAUAACACCAAAGGUUCAGAGAACAAAGGGAAAAUGAGGCAAACUGGACUUCAUGAAAUUUUCUUAAAGGGUGCAUCGAAAGACACUGUGAAUCAAAACUCCGAUGAGGUACCACUUCACAGCGGUCAGAAUGGCCAUCAUUAAUAAUCCACAAAUAACAAAUGCUGGAGAGGGUAUGGAGUAAAUGGACCCUCCUACACUGUAGGUGGGAUUAUAGAGUGGCACAACCACUAUGGAAAAUAGUUUGGGGCUACCGCAGAAAACUCAACAGGGAACGAUCGUGUGACCCAGCAAUUCAACUCUUGGGCAUAUAUCCACACAAAACUUUCCUUGAAAAAGAUCCAUGCACCCCUACGUUCACUGCAGCUCCAUUCACAAUAGCCAAGACAUGGAAACAACCCAAAUGUCCAUCAACAGAUGAAUGGAUUGGGAAGACAUGGUAUAUAUACACAAUGCAAUACUACUCAGCCAUAAAAAAAAGAAUGAAAUAAUGCCAUCUGAAGCAACAUGGAGGGAACGAGAGACUCUCAUCCUGACUGAAGUAAGUCAGAAAGAGAACGACAAAUACCAUAUGAUAUCACUUAUAUCUGGAAUCUAAUAUAUGGCACAAAUGAACCUUUCCUCAGAAAAGAAACUCAUAGACUUGGAGAAGAGACUUGUGGUUGCCAAGGGGGAAGAGGAGGGAGUGGGAUGGACUGGGAGCUUGGGGUUAAUAGAUUCAGACUAUCGCCUUUGGAAUGGAUAACUAAUGAGAGCCUGCUGUAUAGCCCUGGGAACACUAUCCAGGCACUUGUGACGGAACAGGAUGGAGGAAAAUGUAAGCAAAAGAAUGCAUAUGUGUAUGUAUGACUGGGUCACUUUGCCCUACAGCAGCAAAUUGACAGAACACUGUAAACCAACUCUAAUGGAACAGGAUGGAGAGUCCUCAAAACACCAUAAGUAGAACCACUAGAUAACCCUGCAAGUCCACUUCUGGGUAUACUAUCCAAGAAGAAUAGUGAAGUCAGCGUGUCAGAAUGAUAUUUGGCACACCUAUGCUCACAGCAGGUAAAGCAUGGAAGCAACUCAAGUGUCUGCUGGCAAAUGAAUGGAUAAGCAAGCUGUGGUCCAGCCACACAACGGAAUAUUCCUCAGGCUGAGCAGGAAAGAGCUUCGGACCCAGGACACAGCAUGGAGGAACCUUGGGGACAUUCAGCUCAGGGAGAUGAGCUGGUCACAGAAGGACGAAUCCGGCAGGAUUCCACUCACCUGAGGCCCCUAGCGUCAUCAGAGGCCUAGAGGCAGAGAGCAGAACGGUGAGUGCCAGGGGCUGGGGGAGGGGGCAGACAAUGUUCAGUGGGGACAGAGUUCCAGAUUUACUAGGCGAAAGCUUUCUGAAGAUGGGUGCUGGCGAUGGGAGGAGCAAAGAUUGGGGUGCUCUUCAGUAGCAUUUUCCACUUACAAAAAUUCAGAUGGUAUGUUUUAUGUUUUGCGUAUUUGAUAAGAAAGGGCAGGCUCCUUCCUGGGCCAGGCUGCUCUUGUGGUGGGUGAGCCAGCCAGUCCGCGGCUGAGCUGGGCCUGAUUUCUGCUGCAACCACCAGCUGUCAAUAUCUUGGCCACGUAGACAUGCAUUCACAGAAGGACCUGGGAUCUGCUGGGCUUUCUCCCGCCUGGCACCAGCUCACCCAUCUGCGGGCUGUCCUUCACCACCCUCUGCCCUGUCCCCUGUCCCCAACUUUGGGAGCUGUGCCUGCACUUAGCAAAAGCCUGUGUCUGGCAGGGUUUCCGGGUCUCUCUGGCCCGAGACCUGGGGAAUGGGGCCGAGGGGGCUUAGACCCUGUUGGCUCCUCAGCUGUCAUGGUCAACAGGUCACCAGGCCACCUGCUGUGUUCAGUGCUCAAUGAAAUCCAACCUGUGUCACCCCUCCUCCCGCCACUUGGCCUGUACAUGUUCACUCGCUCUGGGGCAAGGUCCUCCGCGAGGAGGGCUCUCAGGCGCCACCAACACAUGCACACACUCCACCUGCCGUGUUUCCAGGGCUCGCUGGGGGCUGAUGCAUCUCCAUGGGGCUGUGGGGUGUCUGGAGGGAAUUUCCCAGGCCAGCCCCCGCCCCUCCAUGAGGCCAGGGAGAACAAAACCUGGACACUCUGGUGGUGGUGGAGGAAAAGGCACAGGACCAACGGAGCAGGACCUACACUCAUAGGACUGAUUCCUGCAAAAGGUGAAACUGAUUUAACGGAGAAGGAUGGUCCAUGCCACAAACCGCCCCAGAGCAAUGAACACCUACAGGCCUAGAAACAAAAAGAAAGCAAAUGAACCAAAACACCUGACCUGAGCUUCAGCCCUGAGAAAAAAGUGAACUCGAAUUGACCACAGGAUAGAUUUAAAAGCAAAAUGUCAAACCGUAAUACUUUCAGAAGGAAGCGCAGGAGGAAAUUUCAGGACCUAGUUCGCUGAAGUCUUUUUAGACAUGACACUAAAAGCGCAAUCCAUAAAACAAGACAGUUGAUAAUACUGGACUUGAUCAAAAAUGCGAUUUUUUUUUCUCUGUAAGAUUGUAUUAGGACAAAAAGACAAGCUGCAGACUAGGAGCACAUGUUGGCGAAGCACACAUCAGACAAAAGAACUCUCAAAACUCAACGGUAAAAGCCAACGUAUGUGGAGUUCCCAUUGUGGCUCAGUGGGUAAGACACACCUGACUAGCAUCCAUGAGAACAUGGCCUCGCUCAGGGGGUUAAGGAUCUGGCAUUGCCGUGAGUUGUGUUGUACGUUGCAGACUCGGCUCAGAUCCCGGGUUGCUGUGGCUGUGGUUUAGGCUGGCAGCUCCAGCUUCGACUGGACCCCUAGCCUGGGAACCUCCACAUGCCAUGGGUGCAGCCCCCCACCCCCCCAAAAAAGCAAAAAAAAAACCCCAAGCGAUCCCAAGAGAAAAUUGGCAAAAGACAUUAACAUUCAUCAUGGAGGAUACAAAGGUGGAAAGAAGCCUAUGAAACUACAAUCACCAUCACUAGUCUUGAGGGAAAUGCAAAGGAGAACAGAACCUGAAGGCUGGCACUCCCCGCUGUGACACGUUCUUAAAAAGGUGACCAUAAAUCACGCAAGCCAGAAAAGGAAAGCUUAAGUUCUCUGCAGGUUUACGGGAGUCUCCAAAACCUGGAACCAUGCAGCCCACCCAGCCACAGAGAGGAAAGAACGGGGGAGGACAACCGGGUCGGACAUCUGGGCAUCCUGCUGAGUGGGGGAAACACGAGUCC